UACAUCAUGUCACGAUAGUCAUCGAUAGUUGUGGGGCAAACGAGAAUUUUCGCUAAGACGCGAUAUGGUCAUACUGAAGGAAAAUUGUAACAUAAAGAAAGAUGAUAACUGACUGCUGACUUCGACAGCCAAAACGGCGAAGCACAAAUGGAAAAUAGCCGCCAUUUUGAUCCUCUACAGUUGCUGUGUUUGCAUCUCCCAGCUCAGCUCGGAUCUUCGUGACUGCCCCACAACAAUGUAGCCCCCAAAUGGAUAGCUCCUGCUUCCACUCUUCCCCCCUCGCCACCAUCCGUGCCGAAAGACGCCCACCAGAAAUUCUGUUAGAGAGGUGGGAACGAAUGCGAUUCAUGUCGAAAUUAAAUGAUUGCCAGAAUUUGUUUAAUAAAUUCCCAUUUAAAUCGAGCUUUCAAACUUUUUGCGAUAAUGCCAUGUUUAUACAACACGUCUCCGAACAAAUUGCCCAGUUGCUACUCAUUAGAAUCGAUCGAUUCAUUAUGAAUGGAAAGAUUCAUUAGAGCGUCUAUAUACUCGUAUGUCUUGUUUAAAAUCCAAUUCGGGGCUUUUCCUCUCUGUUCCGCGGCGAUAAGAUAGCCCAAACUUGGUGGCUUCAUUACCUCCGGGAUGUGGGAGUGUCGUCCGUAAUUUGUUGACAGCAACCGAGUUGCGUCAAUAUUAUGUGGCUCAAACACAGACUCUUAAUGGUUUGCGUUGUAGAGCGAAGUGCCAUUGGCUAUUUCUCCGCUUCCCAUCGGCAUCUUUUUUGAAAUGGAAUAUGACUUAUUAAUGACUAGCGUCUCUUCUUAUUUCAACUUCUCAUAUCGCACUAAUCACGAUUGUUUGAUUUCAGCACAUACACACACUUGGCAAUCGAAGUGCUAGUCUUUAUUGCCUGCGAUCUUUAAUGAGCCGCGUUAAUGGCUUGCGAUCUUUGCUUAUAAGGCUAGUUAGAAGAUGAUCGUUCAGAUCUGUAGACUUCGAAUUCAUCUGUAUUAUCAUCGGACUUCCAAGUGAAUUACUAAUCUUUUUCCUGCGACUCAAUCGUCACACCUUUUGGAUUGCUAGAGCAUCCGAGCUUGUGUCUCUAUUUUUCAAUCAACAUCAGCGGAGUAGAUAACGCGACACGACAGACGAAAGACGAAAGACGCCACUUACACAGAACAAACAAUUCGAUGGGUUGUGGGUAAAUACAAAAAAAAACACUCUGUUCAGUCCGAAGCGAGAAUAAAUGUGCUCCCUGGACUUUUUGGGGCACGUCCAGUUGGCUGCGUUUUGCAAACAGAACUAAAACACGGCUCAGUCCAUCGUCGUUUUUAAAAAGGAAAACCGCCCAAACGGCGACGGCGACGUCGACGGCGCUGCCAUCGCCGGCUAAACAAUGCUAACUUUCAGCUCGAGAGAAGUCCAAAAGCAAAGCGGCAAGCCAACCAAGCCAACCAAGCCAGCGAAGCCAGCCAAGCAAAAGCAGUCAAGCAGGCCGAGAGCAAAAGCAAAAGCAAAAUCAGCAAAGAGCGAGUGCGCUUUGUUGGCGAGAUGCCUCGUCAAGAACAAAUGUCGGGAACAUGACCCUUCCAUCCCGAUGCCGAUGUUGAUGCCCAUGCCCAUACCCAUGCUGAUUCCGAAUCCGAUUUCGAUGCCGAAUUCCAAUCCCAAGUGCCAAAAAUAGUACAUGCAGUUGGAACAAAGGACUGAUUAAUCGGUGAUUCCCGAUCCUCAACGGCCGUGCCUCCUUUUUAUUAUUCCCGUUGCCGGUGCAUUUGAACUGGCCGCUGCGCAGGUGCUCUGCGUUUGUCAUCUCGUCCAAUUGGAGGAGGAAUCAUGAGGAAACUAAGCACUCAACACAACCAAAGUUCAAAGUCAACAGCCAGCAGCAGGAAAUCACACAAAAUUAGCACAUGAAACCUUUGUGAUUAAGCACCUAGCAAUCAUCAUCGAUAGUAGACUUACAUACAGUGAUCCUUUGCUCGAAUAGUUCCAUUCUGACUGGCCACAGUCACGGCCACUCAGCUGAUCAUCUCGAGCUGCAUGCGUGCUGAUCAUGAUCAUGCUGCCCUUGAUCCCGCCUCUAUGAUUUGUUUACGUUCUCCUCUCCAAAAAGCAGCGAAAAGUAGCGAAAACAACAAGCGAUUCACCAGCAGCGCAGAGAAAACCAGUUGGCUGCUAUGGAAAAUCCACGCAUAACACAACACCGAGACUUGGUCGGUGGAUUCCCCCAUUCUGAUGACUACCUUGCCCACCGUCUCAUCUCUCCUCUCUCAGUGGUCAGUGGUCAGUGGUCAGUCGUUCCGAGCAUGCCGAUGAUGAGUGGUGCUUGUCUGUGCCAUGUUGUGCGGACGAUCUUCUUGACUGACCCCUCCGAUUUAUGUUAAGUUAACCCAUAUAAGUCACCGAUCUUACUUAAAUAAGCAAUUGAUUUAACCAUUAAGUCGAUAUUUAAUAUUUAUUUAUUAAUAAAUCUAAACACAUGUGAGCAAUCACUUAAA